CCUACGGGGGGCAGCAGUGGGGAAUAUUGCACAAUGGGGGAAACCCUGAUGCAGCCAUGCCGCGUGUGUGAAGAAGGCCUUAGGGUUGUAAAGUACUUUCAGUUGGGAGGAAGGCGUUGAUGCUAAUAUCAUCAACGAUUGACGUUACCAACAGAAGAAGCACCGGCUAACUCCGUGCCAGCAGCCGCGGUAAUACGGAGGGUGCAAGCGCUAAUCGGAAUUACUGGGCGUAAAGCGCACGCAGGCGGUUGAUUAAGUUAGAUGUGAAAUCCCCGGGCUUAACCUGGGAAUGGCAUCUAAGACUGGUCAGCUAGAGUCUUGUAGAGGGGGGUAGAAUUCCAUGUGUAGCGGUGAAAUGCGUAGAGAUGUGGAGGAAUACCGGUGGCGAAGGCGGCCCCCUGGACAAAGACUGACGCUCAGGUGCGAAAGCGUGGGGAGCAAACAGGAUUAGAUACCCGCGUAGUC
rnacentral:rRNA from 1 species